rnacentral:rRNA from 1 species
UACGUAGGGGGCGAGCGUUGUCCGGAAUUAUUGGGCGUAAAGAGCUCGUAGGCGGCUUAGUAAGUCGGCGGUGAAAUACCGAGGCUCAACCUCGGCACUGCCGUCGAUACUGCUAUGGCUAGAGUUUGGUAGAGGAGAACGGAAUUCCCGGUGUAGCUGUGGAAUGCGCAGAUAUCGGGAGGAACACCCGUAGCGAAGGCG